rnacentral:rRNA from 1 species
CCUACGGGAGGCUGCAGUGGGGAAUAUUGGACAAUGGGGGGAACCCUGAUCCAGCCAUGCCGCGUGUGUGAAGAAGGCCCUCGGGUUGUAAAGCACUUUCAGUGAGGAAGAACGCCUGGUGGUUAAUACCCAUCAGGAAAGACAUCACUCACAGAAGAAGCACCGGCUAACUCCGUGCCAGCAGCCGCGGUAAUACGGAGGGUGCGAGCGUUAAUCGGAAUUACUGGGCGUAAAGCGCGCGUAGGUGGCUUGAUAAGCCGGUUGUGAAAGCCCCGGGCUCAACCUGGGAACGGCAUCCGGAACUGUCAAGCUAGAGUGCAGGCGAGGAAGGUAGAAUUCCCGGUGUAGCGGUGAAAUGCGUAGAGAUCGGCAGGAAUACCAGUGGCGAAGGCGGCCUUCUGGACUGGCACUGACACUGAGGUGCGAAAGCGUGGGUAGCAAACAGGAUUAGAUACCCGUGUAGUC